ACUAUUUUGGCAGAUAAGUGCGGUAGAUUUAGAAUCUAUAAAUGUGGAUUUUUCUACAAGUAGUA
rnacentral:tRNA from 1 species